AUAAAUCAAGAUCAUAAUCUCUUUGAAUUGAUACGGAGUCUUCAUUAGCUUACUAAUUACACAGAAACUAAGCAUCAAAGGUGCUGACGUCACAUUAUGAUGCAGAACCGCCACGAUUGUCAGACGAGAUAAACUCCAGGUCAAAUAUAGAUGACCAUAUUACAAUCAAAAGCACCCUAUUACAGACCACCAAUCUAUCGUCAAGUUGCAGCCCAACCUUAUUCAGCACCAUCUCCAAUCCUCAACACAUCAGCCUGACCUUUAGCAUUCACAUCAUUAUCUUGAUGGCCAUCUAUGGGCCCUUCGACUUGCAGCGCCUCCAUGCCUUUUUCCAGCACCUCCUCCUCUGUCCAAUAUCUCAAAAUUAUGCACAACCAAAAUGUAGAUACUCAUAAGGUUGUUAACUAGUACGUACGAAAGAACAAAUGGUGGAUCUUUAUAUUGGAUAACACUUGGCUAACCGCUUGAGAGAAAACACAUGAAGAAGCUAGCAAAAUAGUUGUGAUAAAUACUAGGGCUGAAAAGAGACGACACGCAGAAUACAUGGAAAAUAAACCUUUGGAACUUUUCUCCCCAUGGUCUAAUUCAAACACUCACUAUUGUUUGUUUACCAUUACCAUUGUACUUUGCAAUACAUGAGUAAAUACAUAGCCACACAAAGGACCACUUAGAAAUGGAUCAUAGAAGAACCUAAAAGCCAAAAUAUGAAAUUAUAUCUUCAUGUUGCAAGACUUUAUAGAUUACCUCUUAACAUACCAACUUUCCAUCUCAAAGCAAGAAACUCAGGUCUCAGUAGCGAGAAUGAACGAACUACUUACAUUUGGCAUGCACCUUAAAGAAUACUCCUACAUGAGAAGUUCAAAACUAAACUAUAUAAGUAUAUAAAGCAAAACGUUUCUAAGCACAAGCUGUUUUCACUACUUAAAUGGCAACACUGUCGAGCAAUUUUCGAGUGGGAUAGUACUCCCUUGAAAAAUUAAUCAAGCUCAACCCUUUGAAUUAUCCUCACAAUAUACAUAGGAGAUGCAUUAGUAGUAGCAAUCGUUUGGAUUUUAAUUUGCAUCCUUACCAGCUAUGUCUCCUUGUAUCUUAUCUGAAAUAAACAUCAUGAGAUAAAUUUAUGGGUGUAAAGAUGAACAAAAGGUGACUUCCCUGUCUCAUUAAAUGUAUCAAAAGACACCACCAAACCAACUCGUGCUACCCAGGAAUGAGUGUUUCCAAGGUGAAACAAUUCAAAGAUGAACAUAAUUUCGAAUUUGUAUUCCUUCUCCAUUAGCUUGACGAAAAAAAGCUAUUUCACCAACAUAAUUACUGUGAUAUAUUCUAUACGAAUCCACAAUGCCCCCAAAUAGUACUCAUUGUGCUCAAGAUCCUCUCUUGUCUGCUUACCUUAAAGUAACAAUUAGAACAGACUAACAAAUAAAUCAGAAUCAUGUUCGUGAGCCUAAUCAGCUUUGCCACAAGCACAAAAGAAAUAACAGCUAUGAAAUGUGUAAACAAGAAAGCGAUCAUCCAAUCACAAUAACUAACAAUCAAGCAUCAGACAGGCUGCGCGAUAACAAUGAAGGGCAGGGAAUAACUAUCAAGCAACAGAAAGUUUACCAUUUGAUACUUUCGGUG
rnacentral:lncRNA from 1 species